rnacentral:rRNA from 1 species
UACGGGGGGGGCAAGCGUUGUUCGGAAUUCCUGGGCGUAAAGGGCUCGUAGGCGGCCAACUAAGUCGGACGUGAAAUCCCUCAGCUUAACUGGGGAACUGCGUCCGAUACUGGAUGGCUUGGAUUCGGGAGAGGGAUGCGGAAUUCCAGGUGUAGCGGUGAAAUGCGUAGAUAUCUGGAGGAACACCGGUGGCGAAGGCGGCAUCCUGGACCGAUAUUGACGCUGAGGAGCGAAAGCCAGGGGAGCAAACGGG